AGUCGAGGGGCAGCAUUUCAGUUUGCUUGCAAACUGGAGAUGGCGACCGGCGCACGGGUGAGUAACACGCUAUCCAACCUGCCGAUAACUCGGGGAUAGCCUUUCGAAAGAAAGAUUAAUACCCGAUGGUAUAAUCAGACCGCAUGGUCUUAUUAUUAAAGAAUUUCGGUUAUCGAUGGGGAUGCGUUCCAUUAGGCAGUUGGUGAGGUAACGGCUCACCAAACCUUCGAUGGAUAGGGGUUCUGAGAGGAAGGUCCCCCACAUUGGAACUGAGACACGGUCCAAACUCCUACGGGAGGCAGCAGUGAGGAAUAUUGGUCAAUGGGCGCAGGCCUGAACCAGCCAAGUAGCGUGAAGGAUGACUGCCCUAUGGGUUGUAAACUUCUUUUAUAUGGGAAUAAAGUUUUCCACGUGUGGAAUUUUGUAUGUACCAUAUGAAUAAGGAUCGGCUAACUCCGUGCCAGCAGCCGCGGUAAUACGGAGGAUCCGAGCGUUAUCCGGAUUAAUUGGGGUUAAAGGGAGCGUAGGUGGACAGUUAAGUCAGUUGUGAAAGUUUGCGGCUCAACCGUAAAAUUGCAGUUGAUACUGGCUGUCUUGAGUACAGUAGAGGUGGGCGGAAUUCGUGGUGUAGCGGUGAAAUGCUUAGAUAUCACGAAGAACUCCGAUUGCGAAGGCAGCUCACUGGACUGCAACUGACACUGAUGCUCGAAAGUGUGGGUAUCAAACAGGAUUAGAUACCCUGGUAGUCCACACAGUAAACGAUGAAUACUCGCUGUUUGCGAUAUACAGUAAGCGGCCAAGCGAAAGCAUUAAGUAUUCCACCUGGGGAGUACGCCCGGCAACGGUGAAACUCAAAGGAAUUGACGGGGGCCCGCACAAGCGGAGGAACAUGUGGUUUAAUUCGAUGAUACGCGAGGAACCUUACCCGGGCUUAAAUUGCAUUUGAAUANUNUGGAAACAGNNUAGCCGNAAGGCAAAUGUGAAGGUGCUGCAUGGUUGUCGUCAGCUCGUGCCGUGAGGUGUCGGCUUAAGUGCCAUAACGAGCGCAACCCUUAUCUUUAGUUACUAACAGGUCAUGCUGAGGACUCUAGAGAGACUGCCGUCGUAAGAUGUGAGGAAGGUGGGGAUGACGUCAAAUCAGCACGGCCCUUACGUCCGGGGCUACACACGUGUUACAAUGGGGGGUACAGAAGGCAGCUACCUGGUGACAGGAUGCUAAUCCCAAAAGCCUCUCUCAGUUCGGAUCGAAGUCUGCAACCCGACUUCGUGAAGCUGGAUUCGCUAGUAAUCGCGCAUCAGCCAUGGCGCGGUGAAUACGUUCCCGGGCCUUGUACACACCGCCCGUCAAGCCAUGAAAGCCGGGGGUACCUGAAGUACGUAACCGCAAGGAGCUCCUAGG
rnacentral:rRNA from 1 species